UGGGGAAUAUUGCACAAUGGGCGCAAGCCUGAUGCAGCCAUGCCGCGUGUAUGAAGAAGGCCUUCGGGUUGUAAAGUACUUUCAGCGAGGAGGAAGGCGUUGUGGUUAAUAACCGCAACGAUUGACGUUACUCGCAGAAGAAGCACCGGCUAACUCCGUGCCAGCAGCCGCGGUAAUACGGAGGGUGCAAGCGUUAAUCGGAAUUACUGGGCGUAAAGCGCACGCAGGCGGUCUGUCAAGUCGGAUGUGAAAUCCCCGGGCUCAACCUGGGAACUGCAUCCGAAACUGGCAGGCUAGAGUCUUGUAGAGGGGGGUAGAAUUCCAGGUGUAGCGGUGAAAUGCGUGGAGAUCUGGAGGAAUACCGGUGGCGAAGGCGGCCCCCUGGACAAAGACUGACGCUCAGGUGCGAAAGCGUGGGGAGCAAACA
rnacentral:rRNA from 1 species